rnacentral:misc_RNA from 1 species
UUGACUUAUUUUUUUUCCUCAGAGGACACAGUAUAGAAGAGUUAGGUGCUUUCGGCAGGCCUGAAGGUGCCCCGCCCUGGGGCGGCCUUGCCGAGGCAACAAAUAGUACAAAAGACCACACUGGUUUGGGAGUUUUUCAACUCUGUAAUGAUCCCUCCGCUGGUUCACCAACGGAGA